rnacentral:rRNA from 1 species
UACGGGGGGGCAAGCGUUGUUCGGAAUUACUGGGCGUAAAGGCUCGUAGGCGGCCAACUAAGUCAGACGUGAAAUCCCUCGGCUUAACCGGGGAACUGCGUCUGAUACUGGAUGGCUUGAGUUGGGAGAGGAUGCGGAAUUCCAGGUGUAGCGGUGAAUGCGUAGAUAUCUGGAGGAACACCGGUGGCGAAGGCGGUUCUCUGGGCAUGUUCUGACGCUGAGGCACGAAAGCGUGGGGAGCAAACAGG